AGGAGAUAUGAGGAUUUGUACCCAUCUUUUCUGCAUUUUGAUGAUGAAUAUCUUACAUGCACUACCAUCUGAUCUCUU
rfam:Spinacia oleracea cultivar SynViroflay scaffold31821.con0003.1, whole genome shotgun sequence.